ACGAAUUGAGUUCGAUAUCCAAGAAGGAGUCGAAGAAGCGACUGUACAUAUUUGAAGUUAAGAGCGCUGGCCCCAAACAGGGUGCUAAUGUUUGGGUAACUCUUGUAGUCCGGAGCUGGAGUAGCUAAAAAAGUACAACCCCAAGACUGGUUUUCUGAAGACCCUGAACAUGGCCAGAUACAGGUGUUAGGGGAGCUUGCGAAGUAUAGCGGGUCGUCGUGAGUAGAAAGUGCACAAAAUUCCCGACAAGUUCACAAGAUCAGUAUUGCAUGUUGGAGGGUCAAGCGAGAUGAAUAAAACUGGUCCGUUGGCCGAAUUUUCUCAUAUUAAAAUGAGAAGUUAAAUAAGGGGGUCGGUAUAAUGGUGCGCAAGUCUGUGGAGCCAUCACCUCGAAUAACGGCCAACGCAGAACCCUGGGGAAACCGUUUGUAUGCCGCCCGGAACCUGUGGGGUCACCUGCCCAUAGCUAGCACGGUGGUAGGCGGCUGGGGGUGCGGACAAUUUGAGGCUCAUCUUGCCCUGCGUAAUGAGGAUAUCUUACUUUCGCUUUAACACGGCAAGCCGAAACACGUUGGAGGUGGCGACCUAGAGUGGUUCUGCCUCCCGGGUCUCUGACGUCAUCACCCAGCGACAGCGCUCGCGAAGGUCCCCUGUCGCUCGGCACCGCAGACCCCUUAGUGGGUUCACGCGCGCGCUGUCCGCCUGCGCCUGAGCGGGCCUCGCGCGGCGGGGCGGGGUGAACGCGGGAGCCGGCGGCCAGGCGUUCGCUUUGGGCAGCCUGGUUCUCCUUCCUGUAGAGUUCUGAGGGCCCACGUGCUUCCGCUUAGCCGCUGGUCCGGAUCCGCCUGCCGCCAGCCACAGUGAUAGUCUGUCACCAUGCUUCGGAAGAAGGUGGAUAACCGAAUCCGGAUUCUCAUUGAGAAUGGGGUAGCUGAGCGGCAAAGGUCUCUUUUUGUUGUGGUUGGGGAUCGAGGAAAAGAUCAGGUGGUAAUACUCCAUCACAUGCUGUCCAAAGCAACUGUGAAGGCGCGACCUUCUGUGCUGUGGUGUUACAAGAAAGAGCUGGGGUUUAGCAGUCACCGAAAGAAGAGAAUGCGACAGCUGCAGAAGAAAAUAAAGAAUGGGACCUUGAACAUAAAGCAAGAUGACCCCUUUGAACUCUUCGUAGCAGCCACAAACAUUCGCUACUGCUACUACAACGAGACCCACAAGAUCCUGGGCAAUACCUUCGGCAUGUGUGUGCUCCAGGAUUUUGAAGCCUUAACUCCUAACUUGCUGGCCAGGACUGUGGAAACAGUAGAAGGUGGUGGGCUGGUGGUUAUCCUUCUACGGACCAUGAACUCACUCAAGCAGUUGUACACGAUGAGCAUGGACGUGCAUUCCAGAUACAGGACCGAGGCCCAUCAGGACGUGGUGGGAAGAUUUAAUGAGAGGUUUAUCCUCUCUCUGGCAUCUUGUAAGAAGUGUCUCGUCAUCGACGACCAGCUCAAUAUCCUGCCCAUCUCCUCCCACAUGGCCAGCCUCGAGACCCUCCCGCCACAGGCUCCAGAUGAGAAUCUCAGCCCUUCUGCUCUGGAGCUGCAGAACUUGAAAGAGAGCCUGCAGGACACCCAGCCUGUGGGUGUGUUGGUGGAUUGCUGCAAGACCCUAGACCAGGCCAAAGCUGUCUUGAAAUUCAUUGAGGGGAUCUCGGAGAAGACCCUGAGGAGUACUGUUGCGCUUACUGCUGCCCGAGGACGGGGAAAAUCUGCAGCUCUGGGUUUGGCUCUCGCCGGUGCAGUGGCAUUUGGGUACUCCAAUAUUUUUGUUACCUCCCCAAGCCCUGAUAACCUCCACACUCUGUUUGAAUUUGUAUUUAAAGGAUUUGAUGCUCUGCAGUAUCAGGAACACCUGGAUUAUGAGAUUAUUCAGUCCCUAAACCCUGAGUUUAAUAAAGCAGUGAUCAGAGUGAAUAUCUUCCGAGAGCACAGGCAGACCAUUCAGUAUAUACAUCCUGCUGAUGCCGUGAAGCUGGGCCAGGCCGAGCUUGUUGUAAUUGAUGAAGCUGCCGCUAUCCCUCUCCCCCUGGUGAAGAGCCUCCUCGGGCCCUACCUGGUUUUCAUGGCAUCCACCAUCAACGGCUAUGAGGGCACUGGCCGUUCACUGUCCCUGAAGCUAAUUCAACAACUUCGUCAGCAGAGUGCCCAGAGCCAGGUCAGCACCACUGCUGAGAACAAGACCACGAUGACUGCCAGACUGGCAUCAGCACGAACGUUGCACGAGGUUUCUCUCCAGGAAUCAAUCAGAUACGCCCCUGGGGAUGCCGUGGAGAAGUGGCUGAGCGACUUGCUGUGCCUGGAUUGCCUCAACAUUACUCGGAUUGUCUCUGGCUGCCCCUUGCCGGAAGCUUGUGAGCUCUACUAUGUUAACCGGGAUACCCUCUUUUGCUACCACAAGGCCUCUGAAGUUUUCUUGCAGCGGCUCAUGGCCCUCUAUGUGGCUUCUCACUAUAAGAACUCCCCCAACGAUCUCCAGAUGCUUUCGGAUGCGCCUGCUCACCACCUCUUCUGCCUUCUGCCUCCCGUGCCCCCCACCCAGAAUGCCCUGCCUGAAGUCCUUGCAGUUGUCCAGGUGUGCCUUGAGGGAGAGAUUUCUCGCCAGUCCAUCUUGAACAGCCUGUCUCGUGGCAAGAAGGCUUCGGGGGACCUGAUUCCAUGGACGGUGUCAGAACAGUUCCAAGAUCCAGACUUCGGUGGCCUUUCUGGUGGAAGGGUUGUUCGCAUUGCUGUUCACCCAGAUUACCAAGGGAUGGGCUAUGGUAGCAGAGCUGUGCAGCUGCUACAGAUGUACUAUGAAGGCAGGUUUCCAUGUCUGGAAGAAAAGGUCAUUGAGGCAUCACAAGAAAUACACACCAUAAGCAGCGAGGCUGUCAGCUUGAUGGAAGAAGUCAUCACUCCCAGGAAGGACCUACCUCCCCUGCUCCUCAAAUUGAACGAGAGGCCUGCUGAGCACCUGGAUUACCUGGGUGUGUCUUACGGCUUGACCCCCAGGCUCCUCAAGUUCUGGAAACGGGCUGGAUUUGUUCCUGUCUAUUUGAGACAGACUCCUAAUGACCUGACUGGAGAACACUCGUGUAUCAUGCUGAAGACGCUGGCUGACGAGGACGAGGCUGAGCGGGGAGCCUGGCUCGAGGCAUUUUGGAAAGAUUUCCGGAGGAGGUUCCUGGCCUUGCUCUCCUACCAGUUCAGCACCUUCUCUCCUCCCGUGGCUCUAAACAUCAUUCAGAACAGGAGUGUGGGAAGGCCAGCUGAGCCGAUCCUAGGCCAGCGGGAGCUGGAGGCGCUCUUCCUCCCCUAUGACCUGAAGCGGCUGGAGAUGUACUCACGGAACAUGGUCGACUAUCACCUCAUCAUGGACCUGAUCCCAGCCAUCUCCCGCCUGUAUUUCCUGAACCAGCUGGGGAACCUGGCCCUGUCCGCGGCCCAGUCGGCUCUUCUCUUGGGGAUCGGCCUGCAGCAUAAGUCUGUGGACCAGCUGGAAAAGGAGAUUGAGCUGCCCACAGGUCAACUGAUGGGACUUUUCAACCGGAUCAUCCGCAAAGUUGUGAAGCUGUUUAAUGACGUGCAGGAAAAGGCCAUCGAGGAGCAGAUGGUGGCAGUGAAGGAUGUGGUCAUGGAGCCCACGAUGAAGACCUUGAGUGACGACCUGGAUGAAGCAGCAAAGGAGUUCCAGGAGAAACACAAGAAGGAAGUGGGGAAGCUGAAGGACAUGGACCUCUCGCAAUAUGUCAUCCGGGGGGACGAUGACGAGUGGAAUGAAGCUCUGAGCAAAGCCGGGCAGAACGCCUCUAUUGUCAGCCUGAAAAGUGACAAGAAAAGGAAGUUGGAAACCAAACAAGAACCCAAACAGAACAAGAAGUUGAAGAAAAACAGAGAUAUGAAGAACAGAAAAGAUAUGAAGCUGAAGCGAAAGAACUAGUGAAGAAAAACUUGGAUAUUUGUGGCUACCCAUGAGGAAAGAGCCUGACUUCCCGAACCAUCUCCCUGGCUGACCUGGGCAGCAGCCUAGAUGGUUCAAAGCAACAAGGGCCCCCAGUAAGAGUGGAAGCCAGCCAUGAGUUGUCUCCGGGUGCAGCCUGGCUGGAGGCGGUCACUCCCAAACGGUUCUGCCUAGACCUUGCUGGUUGGGCAGAGCUCUGGCACUUCUGUUCAGACCUUCGUUUCCCAUGAGCUCACCUUUCACCUUGGGCUGGUGUUUCAGGCUCAUUCCCAUGCCUGGGGAAGCCAUUCUGACUCUGUUCCCUUCUCAGGGCCUUAAGUACACAGAUUUUUGGUGAUGCUCUGGAUGGACUGCUGGGUCUCUUCGUGGACUUGUCCCAAGGCCCUGACUUGGAGCAGCAGGAGUUCUAGUGUACCCAGAGGUAUUGGCAGGCCCCUACUGUGUGCACCACGGUGUGCUAACGCUACAUUUUGUUGCACUCCUAGCCACAGCACCUAGGAACCUGAGCCCUUAAUUUUAAGUAGGAUGUAACAUCUGAGUCUGCUAGCUCUGUUGUCAGUUGGGAAAAAAACAUUGGGAAAGGCCCUUUUGCUAGCAGGGUGAAGGGAGGGACAGAGAAUCUAUUUUUAAUAACGUUCUAGAAGAAGACCCUUUGUCUGUGGGUGUCAUAAAAUCCAUGUCUGCGGAAGUUGCAUGUUGCCCUGUUUCCUGGCUGGCAGGGAGAAUAUGGAGGGUUUGGGAUCAAGGCUGAGGGUGUGUUGUGGCUGUAGCUUCCUAAGUCAGGAGCUGUGGGAGAAGUGGCAGGUACCAAGUGGUGCUGUGGUUGCCAGUGAAGCGGUUGUGUGGUGGCUGGCAGUCAGCUAGCUGUGCCUCUUUUCCUCCCUGGCCCCUGCCAUGUCAUUUGGUGCAUCGUGUUUGUUGGGAUAGAAAUUAUGUGAUGACUUAGCACACACUGGUCCAUUCGUUAGAUGGUGUCCAUGCUAUGAGUCCAAAUAGAACCUUUGCUCGACUCUUGAGGUAACCUGGGUUGGUAGAAGUAUAGGAGAAGGAUGAUGGGUCGGGGAGGCUCAGGUUCUGUGACUGUUGCUAGAAUUGCUCUGCCACCUCUGUCAGGACAGGGGCCACGGGGCCCUUGUUUCCUGGUUCUGCUGCUUCCUGCUGCAGACCCUCCAUUGGGCUUGCUAAGAGGAACAGGAAAAUAAUUUUUAUUUUCUCAGGUGAGUGUCUGAGCCUGCCUUUCAAAGAGGAUUGAUUUUCUUAGAGCAAGGCCACAAAGCAGAGUCCAAAUCUGAGUAGUCACAGCCGAAUGGUUGGUCAGACAUUGUCCAGGGUGUGGUCCCAAGGGUAAGGAAGCCCUUGCUGUGUCCAGCCCCUGGCUGUCCACUGCCUCUGCCCUGGGCUAUAAGGGGACAGGGGCUCCAAGGCCAGGUGCCCAGAAGUGUUUAGACACCGGCUUGGUCCUGACCCUCUCUUGAGAGCUUGGGCACCUCUGUGGUUCGAAUGUCCCCACCAAAGCUCGUGUUGAAAUUCAGUCCCCUUCGUGAGGUCUGAAGAGGUGGGGCGUGCAGAGGUGACUUGGUCAGGAGGCGCUGCUUCUAGGAAAGGAUUCUCCCGCUCAUGGGUAAGUGGGUUAUCUCAGGUGGGUCUGGUCCGAAAGCCGCUUUGACUGGUGAAUGAGCUCUGGCUGUGUGAUGAUGCCUGCACCACCUGGGACUCUGCAAGGUCCCUGCAAGCAAGAGGGCCCUCACAGACACAGCUCCUCAACCCCGACUCUCCAGCCUUCAAACAGUAAGAUUUAUUGUCUUUAUAAACUGUCCACUCUGAGAUUGUCAGUUAUAGCCAUAGAUAAUGGACCGGCAGGAAUCGGCCUUCAUUCUGCUUGUGCUCCAGGUCCAGAUCUGCCACAUGGGAAUGGCAGUGAUGGCACUGCUUUCGGGCCAUGGAGAGCAGGGUUGAGGUAGGUAGUUGGGAAGAGCCCGGAACAGGGCUGGCACACAGCAAGGGCCAGGAGUCUCUGGGUCUGGGGACUCUCCACUGCCAGCUCUAAGAGCACUGAAUAGGACCGGCCAUGUUCUAAACCAGCCUGAGCUGGACAGAGACCUACAUGGACAGCAGAUCAUGCCUCAGUCUGCCUGGCUCCAAGCAAGCAGCUCUGUGUCCCACGACUGGGAGCUCUGCUCUCCAGGGAUGGCCCUCCCCUCUGCAUAAAAAGGAAGCAAGGGUCCCACCUGCUGUAUGCAGUCCUGGCCCUUUCAUUGGUAAAGUAAAGCUCUCUGCACGGUGUCUCCAUUGUGUGCUCUCCUUCAACCCUGAAAGGGCAGCCUCCCCAGACCUCACCAUCUGGUCCCCAGACAGUGACAUCUGUAAAGCUCAACGGUCUCGGGAGAUGUCGCUUGUGAAAUUAAUUCAGAUAGGCCCACUCUGAAUGCUGUCACCGGGGUGGAAGGGGCUAAAGAAGCCUGAACAAAGGUGAUUCCUAACUGGCCUCCCCCACCCCAACUGACGGUAGCCUGCUUCAGUGUUUCCCUGGCUCAUCUGGUCCCCACGGUCCCCAAGGACUUCGGAGUGACCCAGAGACACAAAGGGGCCCACUGAAGCUGGGGAAGGAGGAGGGGUGGGAAUAAGUGACCGUCACCUUGGAAAAAUGCAGGCUCAUUAUCUGAGGCCAUUAUAACCUGGCAGCCAGUGUGCAGGCCUGGGGUGGGGGUGGGGUGGGGUUGAAGGCCCUUGGGCCUGAAUGCAGCACUUCAGCUUGGGGAGACGGGUGAGACAUCCUUUGAAGGACCGAGUGAAACACGGAAUCUGCAAGGCGGGUUUGGAAGGCCUUGGGCUUCCUGGAACUGCUCUGGGUGCCUCUUUUGAGAGAAUUGUGACCGUGCUGUCUGGCCAGGGGGACAUUGGGUGGAAAAGGGAGACUGGCAGAGUGCAGGAAGGAAAGCGAAACAUCAGGAGGAGGAAUGCAGGAGGCCUGGCAGCCUGGGAGGAAGGCAGAUUUGGGGACAGCUUUGGUGGCCCAGGGUUGACUGUGGCAACCUCAGUGUCUGGAGGCGAAGGCUGGACACCACCAGGUAAAUGGCGCCUUAGUGAGUCUGGGUGCAGUAGUGAGCCCUGCAGUAACCAAUGAUGCUUUAGGUUCUGGUUACCCAACAGCUCUGUGAGGAGUUAACUACUCCCGCAGCCUGCCUGGCUGCUCAUACCUGAAGCCAGAAGCUGAGGAGAAAUGGUCCUGAAUCAAGAGUUGGUCCAGCUGCCUGGGGCGGAGAAAAGCCUCAGAAGGGGCAGAUCCACACUGGGGUCCUGGGGGACAGCAGCAGCAAAGCUGAGGCCAUCAGGACCUUACACUGUGCCCCACACAUCCUGGACUUGGAGCCAUCAGCUGGGACAGCACACUGCAGACCCUGACUCCACAGAAAACGGAAAGACAGGCUAAAGUUCUGGUACGGGAGAGGCAGGAAAUCCACGAACUUGACCGGAUGAGCAAAGCUUCCGAGACACAUCACACCAUGGCUGCCAGAGACCUCAAGCUGGGCUCUGGCUCAGGGCCUGGCUCACCUGGAUGUCCAAGUUUGCUCCUGCAUCAAUCAACAUCUGGACCAUGGCUUCGUCCCCCGCAGCACAGGCGUACAUCAGUGGCGUCAUGCCCUGCGUGAAUGGAAGGCAGGUGCUGAACCAACACACAUCCCACAGGCCUCUGCCCCAGGAACCCUGGACAGAGCUUCCCACCUGAUCCAGUUGCUUCUCCCUAGCCCUUCUCCUCAGGCUUCUCCCGCCCCUUGGACACAGGACACCAGAAAGGCACACAGAGGCUAAUGGGGCUGUGGAUCAGACUUUCAGGGACCUUCACUGCCAUGAUCGUGCUGACAACAUGAAGCAGCACAAGCAUUCACUGAGGUACCAGAUGGACGCUCUCGGGAACCCCUAUGUGGCAGCUCCAGCACUGUGGAUUCCCAAGUCUGGUCCCUAAGUCCAGCCGAGCAGAACUCUGGGAAAUUACCUGGUCGUCCAUGGUGUUCACACCAUCAGGUCCCAGGGCCUCGAUGGCCUGGCUGAUGAGGUCUGUCCGCCCACAGUUGAGCAUCCGGAAACCUAGGUCCUGGUUGAACUUUUCUGUAGCAGCGCGGGCAUCCAGCCUCCGGAAGGAACUGAAACAGCACUCGGGUCUGUCCAGAAGGGACCAGGAGGUGUGUGAGCGUGACUGAGCUAGGACCCUGCCCCUCAAUGUCGCCGGCCCCGGCUGGGCUGACAUGUGCUGUGAGGACGGCUGGAGGACUGGGACCUGUGUUCGCACCUGCCAUGCCUGGCCCGACAAGCUCUUUUACAUGAAGAACUGUACUGCUUUUCUGCAAACAGGUUAAGGAAGUGUGCUGAGCUCUUUGGACCCGUCAGCUGUCAGGAACAAACUCCCAACUCAGCCUACAAGGGACCCCAGUGGCCGGAUGCUGUGUACCCUCUGCAGGGAGCAGGCUGCCCCUCAGCCUAUGAAACAGUCCUGGCGGCCACAGUCCAGUUCUUGCCUCUGUCUCUCAUCAAGGCUUCCUGGUAUUGCCCAGAAGUACCAGAGCCGUGGAGGAAGGGGCCUUAGAAUCUCAUGGGCAGUUGACCCAGCCUGCGGGGGACAGUCAGAUUAUACCUGUAUCUCCAGAGGGCAUAUAAUGGACACUCCACAAGCGGCUCUGCCUAGGUUUUUGGUUGGGUCAAGGCAUUUGUCACCCAGAGAGAGGGGCCCACACCUUGAGGACCCCCUUAGAGCAGCCCAGAGGUGCUACAGCCACCCUCUCUGACCAACUCCCCACCAGCCAUCAGGAGCGGAAGGAGGCUGAGGGGAGUGAGCAGAGGCUGUGCAGUGCUGGGCCUGCCUUCCUCCUUGGUCCCUUACUUGAGCUGUCGGGGCUCACAGUCCAGGCCAGGCAGCAGCAGGCGGGCCGCCUGCCGGAUGUCGCCGCUGUCCACAGUGAGGCUGCGGCGGUGCUCGGCGUAGGUGAUGGCCACACGCAUCCACUCCAUCAGUGGCGGAAGCAGCAUGAAGGGCCUGAGGGGCAGCAGAGAGAGAGAAACCUGUUCAUGGGUCUGGAGGACUCAGUCAUGGGACAUCAGCAGAACUCAAGGGCCCUUAGGUGGCCAGUGAGGGAAGGGGUUUCCCAACAUGUACAACCAGGCCUCCUGUCCCCUCCCAAGAAUUCAGCUGUGGAGCUGGGGUGUUCCUCUCUGCAGAGGGGAGACAGCGUCUCCUGAGUAGUGGGCCCAGAGGAAAGUCUCACAGAUCCAGGCUCCAAAGACAGCUUUGCCUCGAGCAGCUGUCACCUCAUUGUGCCGUACAAACACUCGGAUCCUGUCUUCACCUGCAGCGCCCCUCUUUCUCAGGCUCAUCCUGAGACCCGGUGGGUGAGUGCACAUCACACUGUCUGUGUGUGGUGGACAGUUGUCGCUUCCUCGGCUGGAAUGGGGCUCACUGGGCCUUCUGCCUUCCAGGGCCGGGAUCGGGGAGGAACCGUCUCAGGGGUCCUUCAUGACACCAAGACCCAUGAUGCGGAGCAGCUAGACUCCGGGAGCAAGGCAAGGCUGCCAGCAUGGGGUCUGUGCUCCAGGCUCCAGGGUGCACCUUUCAAAAGCACUAUACAUGCCACCAGGGGGCACCAUUCCCAUAAAAUGGGACAGUGCCCCUCACCAAGUACCCCCCUCCAUCCCACCCCUUUCGCUGCCAGCUCUGGGACUCAGCCUGGGGUGGGGUCCACUUGCUACCGAUGAAGGCUUCCUCCUGUCCUCUGCCCAACCUGCCAAGUCCCCCAUGGCGAAAGCCCUGUGGCAGAGCACUUCACAGGCCAAUAGAUCUCAUGCCCCCAGCAGCCAAUCUUUGGCUUCAUGACAGUGGACACCCAGCCUGCUCUGGCCAGAAUGGAGAGUGCUUUUCCCUCGCCAGGUCCCAGGGAAAAGACAUCCCAGCCCUCACUGCUGGUGUCUGAUUAUAGCCCAUGUCGGGCUCCUGGCUCCUGCCCAUGUUCCCAGCCCCUCCUGAUGCCUUAUUCCUCCAUCCUUCCUUUUUUUCUUCUUCUCCGUCCUUCCUUUUAAACUAAGCCAGGCAGUGGGCGCCAGGCCAAGGCAGGCAGUCAGUCCUACACAUGCUCCACUUCCACUGGUACCCUGGGCCUUUGAGGACUGGACCUGCGCUGUCACCGCUGCCUUUCCCCUUGGCACGCAGCUGAGUUCUCCAACCAGGGAAAAGUCGGGCGCUUUCUCCUCAGCUACUCUGAGCCGGCUACAGGUGAUGGCCAGAGACUGCCCGGAUCACUUAUCUCAGUUCCCCAGGCUUUAGGUCAUCCUGAGUUUUAAAUUUCUCUUUUUGAGGGUAAAGGAUUCUUUUGCCUAACAACCACAAGCCCCAGAAUAAUGAGAUGUGAUCUGGAAGGUGACUCCUUCGGGAAGUGAUUCUGAUAUGCUGGUUCUGUCCCUGCAGGAAAUGGACAAGUCACUUGAGUGUGAGGGGAAAUGCCAGGCUGGGGAAGCCUCACUGGUCCGGGCCUUCAGGGGUGCCUAGAGCUGCACUUCAUUAUCACCAGCCAGGCCACUACCUGUCACCAGCACACAGAUCAUAGUGCAUAGAGCAACCCUGCCUGUUGCCAUCUCUUCAUGAAGAAGAUCAAUUCUCCCCUUUGCCUGUCUAGAUUCUAUUUAACCUUCAGGGCUUAGUGCCAGUGGCAUCUCUUUUUGGAAGCCAAAAAUCUCUUCCUGCCCUGAAACUCACUAGAAUCCCUAUGACUCUUCCAGCAGUGAAUGUGCCCCAUCUUCCUAAUGAGACUAUUCCUUCUAAGGCCAGGAGUGAUGCCUUGUCUCUGCUUUUUCCAAAAUAUGCUCAGCCUGGGCUCUGACACAAGAAGUCUUCAAUAAAUGUUUGCUGAAUGACUGAAAGUA